AAAUUGAAGAGUUUGAUCAUGGCUCAGAUUGAACGCUGGCGGCAGGCCUAACACAUGCAAGUCGAACGGUAGCACAGAGAGCUUGCUCUCGGGUGACGAGUGGCGGACGGGUGAGUAAUGUCUGGGAAACUGCCCGAUGGAGGGGGAUAACUACUGGAAACGGUAGCUAAUACCGCAUAACGUCGCAAGACCAAAGUGGGGGACCUUCGGGCCUCACACCAUCGGAUGUGCCCAGAUGGGAUUAGCUAGUAGGUGGGGUAACGGCUCACCUAGGCGACGAUCCCUAGCUGGUCUGAGAGGAUGACCAGCCACACUGGAACUGAGACACGGUCCAGACUCCUACGGGAGGCAGCAGUGGGGAAUAUUGCACAAUGGGCGCAAGCCUGAUGCAGCCAUGCCGCGUGUAUGAAGAAGGCCUUCGGGUUGUAAAGUACUUUCAGCGAGGAGGAA
rnacentral:rRNA from 1 species